rnacentral:rRNA from 1 species
UACGUAGGGUGCAAGCGUUAAUCGGAAUUACUGGGCGUAAAGCGUGCGCAGGCGGUUGUGCAAGACAGAUGUGAAAGCCCCGAGCUUAACUUGGGAAUUGCGCUUGUGACUGGCGUGCUGGAGUGUGGCAGAGGGAGGUGGAAUUCCACGUGUAGCAGUGAAAUGCGUAGAGAUGUGGAGGAACACCGAUGGCGAAGGCAGCCUCCUGGGCCAGCACUGACGCUCAUGCACGAAAGCGUGGGGAGCAAACAGG